rnacentral:rRNA from 1 species
GACGAACGCUGGCGGCGUGCUUAACACAUGCAAGUCGAACGGAAAGGCCCUGCUUUUGUGGGGUGCUCGAGUGGCGAACGGGUGAGUAACACGUGAGUAACCUGCCCUUGACUUUGGGAUAACUUCAGGAAACUGGGGCUAAUACCGGAUAGGAGCUCCUGCUGCAUGGUGGGGGUUGGAAAGUUUCGGCGGUUGGGGAUGGACUCGCAGCUUAUCAGCUUGUUGGUGGGGUAGUGGCUUACCAAGGCUUUGGCGGGUAGCCGGCCUGAGAGGGUGACCGGCCACAUUGGGACUGAGAUACGGCCCAGACUCCUACGGGAGGCAGCAGUGGGGAAUAUUGCACAAUGGGCGGAAGCCUGAUGCAGCAACGCCGCGUGCGGGAUGACGGCCUUCGGGUUGUAAACCGCUUUCGCCUGUGACGAAGCGUGAGUGACGGUAAUGGGUAAAGAAGCACCGGCUAACUACGUG